rnacentral:rRNA from 1 species
AUUGAACGCUGGCGGCAGGCUUAACACAUGCAAGUCGAGCGGAGCGGCGGACGGGUGAGUAAUGCUUAGGAAUCUGCCUGGCAGUGGGGUAUAACGUCCGGAAACGGGCGCUAAUACCGCUUACAAUCAGCUGAGCCUAGGUCGGAUUAGCUAGUUGGUGGGGUAAAGGCCUACCCAGGCGACGAUCCGUAACUGGUCUGAGGGGAUGAUCAGUCACCCUGGAACGGAGACACGGUCCAGACUCCUACGGGAGGCAGCAGUGGGGAAUAUUGGACAAUGGGCGAAAGCCUGAUCCAGCCAUGCCGCGUGUGUGAAGAAGGUCUUCGGAUUGUAAAGCUCUUUAAGUUGGGAGGCGUUACCAACAGAAUAAGCACCGGCUAACUUCGUGCCAGCAGCCGCGGUAAUUC